ensembl:rRNA 5S_rRNA 5S ribosomal RNA
ACACCCUGAAUGAAUCCACUCUCUUCUGAUCUCAGAAGCUAAGCAGAAUUGUGCUUGGCUAGUACUUGGAUGGGAUUCCUCCUGGGAGUAUGUC